UUCAUCAGUAAGCUCCAUCUCAUCCUCCUUGUGAUUUUUGAUUCUUUCUGAAUGGGGAGGACUCUGCUCAUUUUCUAAAGGUGACACCGUCACUUCACCAACUUCUUUUUCCUCAAUAUUUUCCUCUCCUUCAUCUUCACUACUCAUGGGUUCAAAGAAUUCACCCAUUAACGUCUCUUCUUCUUCACUGUUAACCACAUGGAAUGGUUCAAUAUCUUCCUCCCAACCAUCUCGACUGUCUUUGUCCCAACCACUCUGACUUGUCAUAAUCUUGCACUCCCUCUUAGGGU
rnacentral:lncRNA from 1 species